CAUCUGCAUAAACAGCUUUUAAGAGUCAUCAAAGACUACGGCAUCUUUACUGUUGCCAUAUUCUGCUUCCUCUUGUUUUUUUGCUUAUACUGCUAAAAGAGCUUGCCACGAUAUAAUACCUGUUAUAUUGGUUAUCAGGGACAAUACCAGCAGAGAUGGGAGUCAAAUAUGUUCAAGUCAAAACCAAGUCCUUACCAUCAAAUCUUGAUUCAACUCUCAAGUCACAAUGCACACAAAUGUUGGUUCCUGCUAAGGAUCAAGUCAAGUUUCACAAUACAGUACCAAGUUAUAAAACGUGGCCACAAGACCUGGGUUUAUGACACUUCUGAGUUUAUGUUACAUUAUACCCAUAUUAUAUCUUAUAUGCUUACAGUCUUGAACAUAAAUGUUUGUUACAUUAUUCAUACACUAGUAAAUAAGAGUCUUUAUAGAAAUAAAACAAUGCUUUUUAUGUAUAGUGGCAAUCAAGGUUGUUCCUUCAUUUUAAAUGGACAGCAAUAUGCAACUUGACAAAUGUUUUCCAGUUUGGGGUAUAUAAAUGGUAAACAUUUAAAGAGCUAUAAAUGUUUCACAACUUUCUCUGUAAACUAGUUAUAUAAACUGUAUUGUCAGUGCACUAAAAAUUAUCUUUUGCAUUUGCUCUUUAAAGUUAUGGAGGCUUGUAGGAAAAUAUUACUUAGAUUUC